rnacentral:rRNA from 1 species
UAGGGAAUCUUCCGCAAUGGGCGAAAGCCUGACGGAGCAACGCCGCGUGAGUGAUGAAGGUCUUCGGAUCGUAAAACUCUGUUAUUAGGGAAGAACAAAUGUGUAAGUAACUAUGCACGUCUUGACGGUACCUAAUCAGAAAGCCACGGCUAACUACGUGCCAGCAGCCGCGGUAACACGUAGGUGGCAAGCGUUAUCCGGAAUUAUUGGGGGUAAAGCGCGCGUAGGCGGUUUUUUAAGUCUGAUGUGAAAGCCCACGGCUCACACGUGGAGGGUCAUUGGAAACUGGGAAACUUAAGUGCGGAAGAGGAAGGUGUAGUACCAUGUGUGGCGGUGGAAUGCGCAGAGAUAUGGGGGAACACCAGUGGCGAAGGCGACUUUCUGGUCUGUAACUGACGCUGAUGUGCGAAAGCGUGGGGAUCAAACAGG